CCUGUGCUUAGUGUUGGACGGCUUGGUCGCGGCGACGCGACCCCUCCUAAAGACAACGACGGCGGCCUGUGGCUCCCCCGGUACACUGAGCUUAACUGAGCACGUACUGGGCAAGGGUGCCCGGGACCCGGUCUUCUCCCUCCAGCGGGAAACAUUCGACGGUUGACCUCGGAUCAGGUAGGAACACGCGCUGAACUUAA
rnacentral:misc_RNA from 1 species